AUACAAAAGUUAUAACUCUAAAGGUUAAGCCGAUCGCUUAAUCCAUAACCCAAAGGUUCAAAGUACCAUAAAGAAGACCAUGAUUCUGUUUGGGCCAUUCGAAUUGUAUAUUUAACGAGCCCAAUAAUAACCACUACACAUCUUAUUAAAGCAUUCUCUAACCGAACCCUACCCUUCUCUCUGUCGAGGUAGGCGGAGUAGCAUCCCAGUGAUCUUCUGCAAAUGGGUAUAUUCUUCAAUGCUUAAUGUUUGAUCUUCUACACUCUUUCGUCAUCUUCAUCUUCGUGAUAUUAUUAUUAUGAACGGUCUACUGACAAUUUGGCGCUAUUUGCAGGAAUAUCCAGAGACUCGAUGCACAAGAGAAGGGCCACUGGUGGCAAGAAGAAGGCCUGGAGGAAGAAGCGAAAGUAUGAGCUCGGAAGACAGCCAGCAAACAC